UUGGGGAAGAUAGCGCAAGGACUGCUUGAAUGCAGUUGACGAGGAUGAGGGUUCCUCCCCUCGCAGGGAGGUUAACCGGAUCCCUGCAGGUUACCGGCCUGCAGCCCGGGAAAAUCGAAAGAUCAGCGGAAGCCCUCUGGGCAGCCACGGCCCACCUUCUUUCCCUCCAAUCGAAACUCUACAGAGAAGGCCACCCGGGUGACCGGGUGGACAAACCUGUCGAGGGUGGCUAU
rnacentral:ncRNA from 2 species